GAUGAACGCUGGCGGCGUGCCUAAUACAUGCAAGUCGAGCGAACGGACGAGAAGCUUGCUUCUCUGAUGUUAGCGGCGGACGGGUGAGUAACACGUGGAUAACCUACCUAUAAGACUGGGAUAACUUCGGGAAACCGGAGCUAAUACCGGAUAAUAUUUUGAACCGCAUGGUUCAAAAGUGAAAGACGGUCUUGCUGUCACUUAUAGAUGGAUCCGCGCUGCAUUAGCUAGUUGGUAAGGUAACGGCUUACCAAGGCAACGAUGCAUAGCCGACCUGAGAGGGUGAUCGGCCACACUGGAACUGAGACACGGUCCAGACUCCUACGGGAGGCAGCAGUAGGGAAUCUUCCGCAAUGGGCGAAAGCCUGACGGAGCAACGCCGCGUGAGUGAUGAAGGUCUUCGGAUCGUAAAACUCUGUUAUUAGGGAAGAACAUAUGUGUAAGUAACUGUGCACAUCUUGACGGUACCUAAUCAGAAAGCCACGGCUAGCUACGUGCCAGCAGCCGCGGUAAUACGUAGGUGGCAAGCGUUAUCCGGAAUUAUUGGGCGUAAAGCGCGCGUAGGCGGUUUUUUAAGUCUGAUGUGAAAGCCCACGGCUCAACCGUGGAGGGUCAUUGGAAACUGGAAAACUUGAGUGCAGAAGAGGAAAGUGGAAUUCCAUGUGUAGCGGUGAAAUGCGCAGAGAUAUGGAGGAACACCAGUGGCGAAGGCGACUUUCUGGUCUGUAACUGACGCUGAUGUGCGAAAGCGUGGGGAUCAAACAGGAUUAGAUACCCUGGUAGUCCACGCCGUAAACGAUGAGUGCUAAGUGUUAGGGGGUUUCCGCCCCUUAGUGCUGCAGCUAACGCAUUAAGCACUCCGCCUGGGGAGUACGACCGCAAGGUUGAAACUCAAAGGAAUUGACGGGGACCCGCACAAGCGGUGGAGCAUGUGGUUUAAUUCGAAGCAACGCGAAGAACCUUACCAAAUCUUGACAUCCUUUGACAACUCUAGAGAUAGAGCUUUCCCCUUCGGGGGACAAAGUGACAGGUGGUGCAUGGUUGUCGUCAGCUCGUGUCGUGAGAUGUUGGGUUAAGUCCCGCAACGAGCGCAACCCUUAAGCUUAGUUGCCAUCAUUAAGUUGGGCACUCUAAGUUGACUGCCGGUGACAAACCGGAGGAAGGUGGGGAUGACGUCAAAUCAUCAUGCCCCUUAUGAUUUGGGCUACACACGUGCUACAAUGGACAAUACAAAGGGCAGCGAAACCGCGAGGUCAAGCAAAUCCCAUAAAGUUGUUCUCAGUUCGGAUUGUAGUCUGCAACUCGACUACAUGAAGCUGGAAUCGCUAGUAAUCGUAGAUCAGCAUGCUACGGUGAAUACGUUCCCGGGUCU
rnacentral:rRNA from 1 species